GAUGAACGCUAGCUACAGGCUUAACACAUGCAAGUCGAGGGGUAACGAGAGGAAAGCUUGCUUUCCUUGUCGACGACCGGCGCACGGGUGAGUAACGCGUAUCCAACCUGCCCCCAACUAGGGAAUAACCUUGCGAAAGUAAGACUAAUACCCUAUAAUUUCCUCAGAUGACAUCUGACGAGGAAUAAAGAUUUAUCGGUUGUGGAUGGGGAUGCGUCUGAUUAGCUUGUUGGCGGGGUAACGGCCCACCAAGGCAACGAUCAGUAGGGGUUGUGAGAUGAAGGUCCCCAACAUUGGAACUGAGACACGGUCCAAACUCCUACGGGAGGAAGCAGUGAGGAAUAUUGGUCAAUGGGCGGAAGCCUGAACCAGCCAAGUAGCGUGCAGGAUGACGGCCCUAUGGGUUGUAAACUGCUUUUAUAAAGGAAUAAAGUUAGCCACGUGUGGUUAUUUGUAGGUACUGUAUGAAUAAGGACCGGCUAAUUCCGUGCCAGCCGCCGCCGUAA
rnacentral:rRNA from 1 species